rnacentral:tRNA from 13 species
CGCGGGAUGGAGCAGCCUGGUAGCUCGUCGGGCUCAUAACCCGAAGGUCGUCGGUUCAAAUCCGGCCCCCGCAACCA